GCCACUUCUUUUGCUUGUGCACAGAUGGGCGUCGCUUCAGGUACCAACACUGGAUGGUAUCAUCUCUAUGCACGUGCUACUUAUCAGGAGUAUGAAAAACCCCCAAAUAUUGUUACUGGUAUGUUAUAGCUCUUUUGUUUUGAUGUUUAUUAUUUUCCUUGAUUCAAAUUCUACCCUAUUCUAUGUGGCUGUACAUUUUGGUUUUGAUCCUAAAAAUAUUUUUGACCCCUUUACUCUUUCUACUCCUAUGGGUGUAAUGACCCUUGAGGUUAUUUCUCAUAUUUUCUCUUAUCUUUUCCAUUAGGGCUUCUCUAUAGCUUCCCCAAUCAUAUAUGACUUACUGGGAUUGAUGGUUCGAUUACCGAGUAACUUGUUUGUUUUUAGAACCAAUUCCCUAUUUAGAAGUCUUUCCUGGUUCCAAAUGGCCACCGAGAAAAAUCUUUAGUAAAAUAAUCUCCGAUGUAAAUUCCAACUUUGCUAAAAAAUCUAGAAUAUCAAUUUUAGGCUAGGUUGACCCUUGAUUCGGGUCCUAAUAGACCCGAAGUAAUUUUGACGUAUUAGUCAGAAAGUUGGAAAAUUAGAAGAAUAGGUAUGGGACCCAUAUUUGAUCUAAAUUACCUUUUAUGGAAAAUAUAACUUUUGCAACACAUCUGAAAUGACGAAUUUAGUGGGAAUACAUAGUUCAUUUGCAAAAAUUAGAGUUCGAAUGAGUUUCAUUAGUCAAAACAAGUUUUUGACAUUGCUAGUGUUGGUGCAUGUGCGAUCGUGAUUAAGGCACUGUGAUCUCCCUAUUACAAUUGCUAUAAUCCCAUGGCAAUCAUAUAACCAUGAUAGUGAUCCCUAUGACUAUGAUAGCGAUAUCUCCUUACCUAAUAGGGCUAUAAAUAGCCCCUAAUGUUGCAAUUUUGGUCAUUUUCUCUUCAUCCUUGAGAGCUAAAAGACCUAAGUGGGUGUGAUAACUAAAAAUUGAGUUUUGUGGAUGAAUUGGGAGGUUGCUAAACAUUUUUUAUCAUGAUUAACAUCCGAAUUAAAGUAAAAUUUCAUCAUUUUUUUGAUGAAAUUCUUGUUCCUUGAUCCAAAACCCUAAUUUAGCUUAGGGCUUGCUUUUAGCCAUAAAUUGUAUUUAUAUUCAUCCAUUUCUUGAGGGUUAUGAUUCCUUGUUUGUGUAUGAAUUUUGGGUUUACCUCGGAAAUGCAGUUUUCAUAAGUGAGACCCACUUGGUGUUUUUUGGUGUCAUUUUUGACCCAAAGUACAAUGGUGCAAUAUAAGUAUCGUUAUUCUCGUAUUGAUGAGUAGAUUAUGAUUUUUAUAUUGUGAUGAUAUUUUGGGAUUGUGAAAUAAAGACGAGUUUCUGAUGAAUGAUGUAAGGAUUUGUUGUUCGACUUUAAGGUACGCCUUUACUACUCUUCUUCGUAGAUGAUGUGUGAUAUAUAUUGCAUGUGAAUGUGAAUAUUAAGAUUGAUUGUGGGUAGAAUGACUUAGUAUUGAAUAUUUAAGUUUGGGAAUUAGAUGAGGGUUUUGAUCUGUAAGUUGAAAUGUGUAAUACCCUUUUAGAAUCCCAUUGUCCUUUGCCUAGUUUGGACUAAUUUGUAGCAUGGAUACGAUAUAAUGCUAGGUUUUAGAUGUGGUUUAAUUGUUGGAAUCAUGGUUAGUAUGAUUAACCUUAGUUGGGCUAGUCUAGUGAUCUUGAAACCAUAAUUUGAGUAGAGUUGGCAUAAAUGCCCAUUUUCUAGAAGGAGUUACUAUCUUAGGAUUAGUUAUGGAUUGAUUGACAUCUAGAAGUUGAACUAGAUAUCUUAGCCUAGGUUGGGGUAUAAAUUGCCUAAGUACGAAUAUUGAUGAUUAGAAGUGGGUUUUUUGGACUCACCUUAGGCCAAGACUUUUGUUAGCCCAUGUGGACUUAGUUGCAGAUGUUAGGACAAAUUGAGAUGAGUGAGCCUUUUCAAUUAGGUUAAUUCAUGACUUGGUAAUUUUUGAAGAUUUUCCAUGGAUUAAAACUAAAGACAUGCCCAUGAUAUUUCUUUUAGAAAUUAUAUUGGUCCUUUAGAGAUGCUAAUUCUUCUUAGAUGUGAUAUUGGGCCUUCAGAGAUGUGAUUUCCUCUUGGACAUGAUAUUGGACCUUUAGGGAUUUUAUAUUCUUAAAUAUGAUAAUUGGCCUAUGGGGAUGGUAUUCCUCAUAGUCAUGAUACAUGACCUAUAUAUAUGAGAUAUCAUAUCGAUAUGGUAUGCCACGUAGUCAUGAGUUAUGAUUCAUUGAUCACUAUUGGAAAAGGGUCAAUGGCGACGGUUUCUAUACUGUCUUCAGACACACCAAAACCAUUCCCAUAGUUAUAUCACGAUGGUUAAUGCACCCAAUACAACUGAAGGCAUUACAUUAGAUCAAACACGAUGGUUUCUUGCGACGAUGACAAAACCGUCGCUAUAUCUACAUCUUUAGCGACAGUUAUUGUAUUUGACUAUAUGGUAAUGAGUUGCAAGCUAUUGGAAUUGUUCCAAACCGUCCCUAUAUACACUUUAUUGGAUCAUUAUAAAUAUGAUGUUACGGAGGGUAUUAGACUUUUGCGAUAGAUACAAACCAUCCCUAUAUAUAUGUUAUUGCGACAGUUUGAGAUAUGUUAGGAUGGCGAGAAAUUGUCCCUAUAUAACUUAUUAGGAUGGUUGUAUAAGAUAUUACAGCAGUUUGAUUUCUAUAUAUCCUGUUGGGACAGUUAUACAUGCCAUUGUGACAUCGAGAAACCAUCCUAAAAGUUUUAUAGGAUGGUUAUUUUGCAAGCUAUUGCGACAAUUAAACAUGAGCUAUAACAAUGGUUAAUUUUUUGCCAUUGGUACAAUUAUUUUUGGUUUUUAGGACAGUUAGUUUAAGCUAUUAGGAAAAUUAUUAUUAGACUAUUCAACAAUACUAUAUUAGGCUAUUGCAAUGAUUUUAUAAAUCUACCAUAACACAUAAAAUUUACAUAUAUAUUAAUCAUCAAGAGUACUAGUAACUAUUAGUUCCCAAAAUGUCAACCAAUAAGAGACCAAAUAUUUUUUGACCAUUCAAAAAAAACAAAACAUACACAAGUUUUACAUUUUCAAAAAUAAAAGAUGUUUGAAAUUACUCGGUCAAAUUUACUAAUAGUUAGUGUAACAUGAAGCCAAUGUGAUCGAUCUCUUAGGUCAGGUCUAGUUCAUCAAUUUCGUUCUCGCUAUCUUCUAUGUCAUUAUCACCUACAAUAAUAAGAAUAAAAAAAUUAAAGUUGAGCAACAAACUACAUAACAACAACAACAACAUACCGAGUAUAUUCCCGCCAACUGGGGUCUAUAGAGGGUAAGUGUACACAGUCCAUACCAAUACCUGAAAUAAGAGAUACAAAAAUAGUUUCCAAUAGUCCCCCAGCUCAAAAUAAACCAAUCUAUAUUCAAAAUUCAAAUUAUCAAAAAGCAUACAAUUGAAUCGUAGUCUUUAGUUUAAGAGGGAAAUGUAGUAUUAUCUAAAAAGUGGAGAUCAGAAACACCACUCCUUACCCUAACCAAUGUUGGAAAAGAUCAAGCAUAUUAACUUCUGAAGCAACAGUUGAGAUAAAAAUAAAGAUGUUUCAUAUCCUUGUUACACAACACCUUACCCCACCCCCAUAUUAAGAUAUUAGGUCUUAGAAAGUGAAUGAAUGAAUAGCUCAACAACAUAAAGCAUUCUACAAGAUAAGCAAAAUAUCUGCAGCAUGUGGGAUGUGGUGCAAAUACACAAUUAGAAGUAAGGCAUAUAUUUUGAAUUAGGAAACAAGAACUAAUAUUAGGAUGCCAUGCAUAUGGUGAAUGAAUAAGAUAAUAGGAACUAAUAUCCAAAGUGUGCAUGAAAUUGAAAUUUAGGAUAGAAUAUACAAACAAAGUUGGAGAUAAACACGUAAGUAAGAUCGAACAUUGAACUGCAAAAGAAUUCCUUAAUAUUUAAGUUGCUAUGACACUGCCAUCAAAAGACCACCUCUGGAGUAUCUAGGACAAAGUAAAUAGUAAAUUAUGAUGAAUGAGGUAAGCAACCAAAAUAUUCUAAAGAGUUCGAAUAGCAUAUGAACACAUUCAGGAAUUAGUUACAGGAGUACACCCAAAAAAAUGCUAAGCAACUUCCAAGUUACCAAACAAAUAAUGAAGGUUAUCCACAUAUGCCUAAGUUUUGAAAAACAGUAUUAGUUGAUGGAUUCAGAUACAAAUCCAAGUAGACCCAUCGAACAAAAAGUGAAGCAAAGGUGGAAGAAGCCAGAAUAGCGUAUAAACACAUUUAGGAAAAAAAUAAUGCUAAACAAUUUUACUUCUUUACAAGGUACUCUUCACUUGCUGUAACUUUUUGAAUAGCUAUAGAUUUAUUUGUGCUCAAAGCUUACAUUAUUUUACUUUGUGCUUUUAAAUAAAAUCUACUUUACUAAACAAAAAGGGGGGAGAGACUAAAUAAACAAUCCACAUUUUAGGCUAUUAAGACUCCCAGCUGGAGAUGUAUAUAAUUUCUAUUAUAGAUUAGAGUUAACCAAAAAAAAAGAUGAUAGGUAGAUCUAGUUUAUCAUUAUUGAAACUAUUAUCAUAAGCCAUUUAAAUGCUAGUAGGAAACAAUAACAUUUAUCUUAUAAAGAUCACAUAUUAUUUUUUUUUAUUUUCAUUCAAAUAAGAGCAACACUCAUUCAGACUUGGUCCAUUGGAAAAAAUGAUCAUAAUUCUAAACUGAAUUUCUUUUUAUCAGUUCCCUAUAUGAAUUCUCAUAUCAUUAUAUUAGAAAACAGAAGCAUUUGAUACAUCAAGCUAAGUAAAAUAGAAAAACAAAAGAUAUCAUGCCAUUAGACUACAAAAACUUAGUUUCACAUACAUAUCAAUCCAUCAAAUAUGCAUGCUUGGGUUCGACUAUAUGAAUCAUUUAUAACCAUUAUGCUAUGGGAAGUCGCAGGUACCAUAUGGAAUUAGUCAAUUUUUGUUCAAUCUUAUCCGAACCCCAUUUUUAUUUGUUAGCAAAAGAAAGUAAUACAAAAAAAACAAAAACUAACUCUUUUUCUUGUUGUAAGGGAAAUUCAAUUCUCCCAAAGCAAUACCAAAGCUAGAGUUUAAUCAGAUGACCAAAAGAUUUGUUUCACAGGGAUAUCAACCAAUCAACUACCCAUACUUAGAGUCAACUAUAUGAAUCAUCUAUAAUUGUAUUAUUCCCCUUCAUUUAGGGAAAAUUUUGUUCCAGAAGGGAACACACAAUAUAGCUUUUGAGUUAUAAUAUAAAAUAAUCUAGCAUACACAUCAAUCAAUCUACUACCCUUACUUGAAGUCACCUAUACGAUAAUCAAAUUACAAGAAACAACAUAUUAUAACAAAGUUCAUCAAAAUUAAUGACAUGUACAUUUUCAAUUAGUCAUGCCAAAUGCUGCUCGUAAGACCUCAAAACUAGUUUAUUCAACUCACUAACCAUGGUAUUAGAAUAAAAAAUCAAGGAAUUAGCCUUCAACUCUUGAUCAAGAAGUAUCAUAAUAUUAAUAAACAAGUGGAAGUUCCAAAAACAUCAUUAUUAAACUUCCUAGAGAAGUACUAAUAGAAAAUUAAGAAAAGAACCCAGCUAGACUAUUAAAGACAUACCUUUAAUUCCUUGAACAAUUCAUUUAUAUAUGGUAUACCAUUAUUCUUCUCCAAAAAAAGAUAUACAAAUGAAAAAUAUCGUUCAAUUAGUCAACUUUUUUCUUUGGAUCUCUAGUGUAAUAAUCAAAUAGCACUAGUCUGUUAUCACACAUCUUAAUUAUUUUCUACAAUGAUAACAAGAAUAAAACUUUAGAACAACCAGUAUAUUUAAGAGAAGCAUAAGAGGCAAUGCUUCUCAAUCUGUCACAUAGUCAAAGUAUGAAAAAGGUAGGAGUUACAAGAGAACAAGAUAUUUAUAGAUCAAUCUUUAAGAAUAAAGAAGAAAAGAACAGGCAGCCAGACAAAAAAUGCAGGGCUCACACCUUCGUAGAAGAGACAUCAAAAGAUGGAUAACAAUGAAAAACACUUUGAACAAAAGAAUGCUUGAACUAAAAUAGAUUAUAUAUAUAGUAGAAUUGGUUAGCUAAUUCAAAAUUUUGAAAGAUAUGUUCCAAAUAUACCUGACAAAAGGAUCUCAGCUAGAAUUGUUUAACUUUAAAGGAUCUGGGCAUUUAUUUCCUAAAUACUCAUCCAAAUACUAAUCAUUAUCUUGAAGCUCAUCUCCACUAGUGAAGACAAAAGAAAACUAGAUCAAUAAAAAUUUUGUACAAGGAAGAAUGACAUCUCACUACAAGACUCGUUGAUGAAUGGUGAGUUUACCACUUAUUCGAACUCAUUAUUCUGUACAUUACCUUGUUUUUAAUGACUAACUGAGAUAAAAUCUAUGGAUGGAUGAACUAAUAUCCACUAUUUUUAGUCAUAAAGUUAAGGAAACCAAAAGAUUUGGAUUGGAGCUGAAAAUGAUAAAAGAGAGCUAGAAAGAGUGCAGCUGAAGACCAGACUACAUCAACCUCGGUUACCAUGAAUGUGGUCCUCUAUCUGUGGUUGCAGUUAGUCAAGACAAUAAUAGUAAUACAUUCCAGCCACACAACUACGGUCGCAUGGUCGCGGUCACGAACAGCUGUGCGCGAUCACAGUUAAGCAGGAAUAUGCCCAGGGAUAGAUGUGCAAAAGCACUUGGAUGUAUCCCAAGCCUUAUUUAAGGUAAAAUAAUUUCUUAUUUUGGAGAUUUUAGCUCAUAGGAUAUCUUGGAAUUAAGGACUUGAAACCCUAAUCUUGGGUAAGUGUGUAAUUAACUUUGAAUGCUAAAUUUCUUAGACUUUUUGUGAAAAAUGAAUAUGUUGGGUGACCCUUAUGGUACAUCUCUCUCUAAUUUCUUCAUAAGUAGCUAAAUAAUUUAAUCUUGGGAUUAUAUUGAACUAAUGUAUAAUUGUAUGUGUGUGUUUGCAUGGAUUUUAGUUGUUGCGUAGGGAUUCCACAUUUACUUGAGCUUAUAUGUUUGAAUUUGAUGGCUAAAAGACCAAAAUCUCCAAAUAAGUUUGAUGGGUGAAAGUCCCAAACACUAGAAACCCUUAUUCAUCCUUGAAAGAGAGAUGAAGGUUAAUUUUUAGGUAACCCAUAACAUCCUCAAAAGAGGGUUAUAGGGGGACAAAGCAAUGGUGGACAAGUAAGCCUAUGAUUUGCAGCCUUUUGCAAUCUUAGAUAUAAGUGUACUAGGAGAGUAAAUACUAUUAAGAGAAUCAUCCUAGAAAUAGGGAUUCUUGAUUAAGGUCUUGGGUUAUUAGGAAAAUGAGUAUACAUGUUAGGUGCUCAAAACAGCCAAUGAGUGAAAUCUUGUGGUAUUGUUGAAAGAUUGAUUGCAAUGAACUUCGUCCUAGACUAUCCUUUGCUUAACAACUAAAUUUCAUGAUGAACUAACACAAACUCACAUGCAUUACCCCUAGGUAGACAUAAUCUAAAGAUUUCACUCAUAUCUUGAAUUCUAAGUAAAAGUUUUAUUCAUGAAGUGCUUGUUAAAAUUGGUUGUGAGGAAUCCCUAAACAAAUUCCCCCAUUUUAUUUCACAUGUUGUUUUUAUUAACAUUUUGGGUAAUCUCUUAGUAACUUAAGCAUCCAUUAGGUUUGAAGCCUAUAAAUUCACUCCUUGAGAUUUGACCCCAAUUUAAUUUGGGAAACUUGACAAUGACUACCUCACCCCUAAUUAUGGGAGUGAGUUGAGCAUUAUCAAAAUAGCACCAUUAUCGGGGAGUGAAAUAUACAUUUUUUCUUGUGUGGUGUCAUUCUUAUUUGGGAAUACCCAAAGUGGUGUAAUUUACUUUAUUUGUUGUUGUUGAAUCCUUUGUAGGUGAUCAAAGUUUAAAUGGAGAAAUGAAUAAUAACGCAAGCAAUACGUGCCCCCUCGAUGCCUCUCUUGAUGAUGAAGGCCUAUUGAAUGAGACGGGAAAACAAG
rnacentral:lncRNA from 1 species